UAAUACGGGGGGAGCAAGCGUUGUUCGGAAUUACUGGGCGUAAAGGGCGCGUAGGCGGGAAGGCAGGUCAGGUGUGAAAACCCAGAGCUCAACUCUGGGCCUGCAUCUGAAACCACCUUUCUUGAGUAUCGGAGAGGAAAGCGGAACUCCUGGUGUAGCGGUGAAAUGCGUAGAUAUCAGGAGGAACACCGGUGGCGAAGGCGGUUUUCUGGCCGAAUACUGACGCUCAAGUGCGAAGGCCGGGGGAGCAAACAGGAUUAGAUACCCUGGUAGUCCCGGCAGUAAACGAUGGGUACUAGGUGAUGGAGGAAUCGACCCCUUCAGUGCCGAAGCUAACGCAUUAAGUACCCCGCCUGGGGAGUACGACCGCAAGGUUG
rnacentral:rRNA from 1 species